CUUCGUUAAGUUAAUGAAAAAAAAAAAAAAAAAUUACAAAAAACAAACGGUUGGCUGAAAAUUUACAUCAGAAUAUUGUUUUCGAAACGUCUACUGUCUCGUGAUUUAUUAUUAGCGUUCAUUUCGGAUGGUUUUUUUAUUCGUAUUAUAUUUCUGCGCGUUGCGAUUUUGGCACAAAUAGUGUAUUUUUACCUCGACAAUUAAUAUUGUCGUAAUAUAUUUAGUACACGCCGGUUGUGACAAUAUUAUUAAAACCAUACAAAUAGAAGAAGAAAAAAAAUAUAUCGCAGAAGCGUAUAAAUAUUGUCAGUAUCGUCACAGUCGCUGCAGCAGUACCGUUUCAGCAUUUGUCAUCUCGUCUGUAUUUCUAACGGGCGAUAUAAUAGUAAACAGAUGCGUUCACGUGAAACAUAAGCGAAAAAACCAUUUUAAAUCAGUUUUAGAGACAAAAACGCUAAUAUUGUCGCAGUUUAUAUAGAUGGCGAUAUUAUUUGAAGACGCUUCAUCGGCGUUUUUCACAAUAUUAAUCGUUAAAAAAGAUAUAUUUUCCGUAGCUUCGAUGAUCUGCAACCGGACAUUUAGAAAAAAAAAAAAAAGACGCCAACGGCGAAUCACGAUUAUCUAAGAAAAAACCGUACCCAUACUAUAUGUAUACUGUUAUAUGUCUAAGACCGAUUUUAAAGACUUUUUCGUUUGUUCUGCGCAAACAAAUGUUUACUUAAGUCUUGUCUGUUAGAUUGACUAAAAAAAAUAAUAAUAAUAAAACGACAAAAAAUUCAUUGCGAUCGUCCUCUUAACUGCAAGGUAAUAACUGAAAAAAAAUAUACAGCGACCCAAAAUAAAUGCAUGCAUACGGAAAAAAACGUAGCCCGAAGAACUUUUUAUUAAUAAUUGUGUUUGUAUAUAUUUUUACGACCGGUUCCGAUUUCAAAAAUCAUCGUCGGGCAAUAAAACAAAAAAAAAAAUAUAUAAAUAAACCGAUAACUUGGAAGACGGAAAAAUUAAAAUAUAUUGCUACGUGAUUACGAUUGCGAUUGAUGACGGUAACGGCGGGAUAUCCGACGAGGAGUUAUGGAGUGUGAAUUUAUUUGAGUAAAACACGUUGGUCGCGCGGACGGGAAAUUAGUGGGUUUAAAAUUAAUUUGAAAACAUUUACAAAAAAAAAAAAAAAAACACUGCAAUAGUUGUGCGUAGUGGUUCGUCGGAGUCGAAAACCGGUACUGCUGAAGAUCCGCAGCUACACGACUUAAAAAUAAUUAAAUAAUUAUUAAAAUAAUUAAUGUUAACCGGGAGAAAUAUCGUAAGAAAAUGACUACAAUUAUUGCGGUUCCGUUUUGAAUGAUUCGCACGCAGCGUAUUGAUUGCGAAACACGGUUGCAGAAUUCCGGACCCGGCGAUGACGGGACGAUCGUUUUCCGAUAUCCGCUGUAGUUUUCUUGAUAACGGCGACGGAGAAAAUCGAGAAAAAACGGUUUUUUUUAUGGAAACGGUUCAGCGUUUUACAUUCGAUCAUCA